rnacentral:lncRNA from 1 species
UUAUAAAUUGCAUGUGAUGUUAAUCCUUUUAUGCACCUUAUUUUGCUUAGAACGACGGUAGCAUUAUGAGGUGAUCUAUCACUAAAAUUUCAAGACGAAAUUGUGUUCUCCCCGACUGUGCACCGUUGCUACAGUUCGUCGUUUCGAGACACCACGUGAUGAUCGGGUGUGAUAGACUCAACGUUCACAUACAACGGGUGCAAAACAGUUGCGCACGCGGAACACUCGGGUUAAGCUUGACGAGCCUAGCAUGUGC